CAGUGAAUGGAUUAAUGCUGUUGGCACGGCAGUGGGUUUGUUACAAAAGGAGGGAAUUCAACCCCUUUUACUUUCACUUUCACUUUCUCUCUCUCACUCUCUUACCUUCCACCAUGGGAUGACAUAGCGAGAAGUUCCUCACUAGAUGCCAGAAACUUAAUACUGGACUUCCCACCUUCCAGAACUGUGAACUGCAGUUUAUCAAUAUUUUUCUGCAUGGAUUAUGGUUUUUGUGUUAUGUCUAAGAAUUCUGUACCUAACCCAGAUCAUGAAGAUUUUCUCCUGUGUUUGCUUCUAAAAUUUUUACAGAGACAGGGCUUCACCAAGUUGCCAAGACUGGUCUUGAACUCCUGGCCCCAAGCAAUCCACCCACCUCAGCCUCUAAAAGUGCUGGGAUUACAGGUAUGAGCCACCACGCCCAGCCGAGAUGCUGUUAUUUCUGAUGCUAGAUCACAACAAGCAAUAACAGUUUCUCUGCCUGACUCCUCAGAACCCAGGCACCAAGCUGAGGAGGCCUAUGCAGCCACAUAAAAAGGUCACAUGUAGGUGUUCAUAUGCAACUGCCCUAGCUGAGGUCCCAGCCAACAGCAUCAACCACCCAAUUUGUGAUGGAGCCUUCAGUUGUGUUGUCUGAUAGCAACAUGCGAACCAUACAUGUAGGCCACAUAUGUAAAUUUAAAUUUUCUAGUAGUCACAUUAAAAUUCAAUUUUAAUACAUUGAGUUUAAUCUAUCUAAAAUAUAAUCAAUAUAAAAACCAUUAAGAUAGUUUAGUUUCUUUUUUUAUACAAAGUCUUCGAAAUCUGAUGCACAUUUUAUACUUACAGUCCUAUUUUCAAUCAACACACUAGUCUCCAUUCAGACUGGCCUCACUUCAACUGCUCAGUAGCCACUUGUGGCUAUCAUAGUGUGGCCGCUUCAAAUGACCCCACUGACCAACUGUUGAUUCCAACCUUGAGUUUUCCCAACUGAAACCCCAGACAUCAUGGAGUUACAAAGCUGUUCCUGCUGUGCCCUUUCUGAAUCCUUGACUCACAAAAUCUGUGAACACAAAUACUGGCAACUAAGUGUGUGACGGUUUAUUAUACAUCUGUAGUAACUGGGAUGCUAGCCUAUGAGAGUUUCAUAACUUAUUUAAACAUUUCCCUACUUAGAUAUUUCUCCCACCUCUUUCCAGGAUAUUAGUAUAACCAAUGACGAUGAGCAAUACAAGCUCUGUAAGUUAGUCAAAUUAUUUCCUUAAAUGUUUGAGGGUGGCAUUUCUGGGUCAAUUAGAACAUACAUUUACAUUUACAUUCAUGUUGCCAAACUGUUAUCCAAAGCAGCUUAACCAGUUCUUACCAACAAUCAUCUAUGUGUGUGCAGCCGUGCUUCUUUUGAUUAAAUCUGGCCCUCUGCAAUCAUCAGUUGAAUACUUAGAUCCUUUCUUUUCUAUUUUAUAACAUUCCUAAGUUUGCUUUAUUGCUUUUACAUUGUGAACUAUAUCCAUGAUAUAUUUUUAUCACAAAAUAUUCAGGCAAUGCAUUGACUAUACAAAAGAAGUACUAUACCAUUAUUCUUUACUUUGGAUCUUUUUCAACUUAAUGUCAUAGACAACUUUGCCUGUCAGCUCAUAAAAGUCUAACUCACCAAAUGUUAAUUAAUUAAAGGACUGUCUUUUAAUUAAAUGUUGAGUGACUACAUGGUAGUCCAAAGACUGCAUGUAUCUUCAACAUUCCUCUGAUGACAGAUAUUACAGUGAUUCCACCUCUUCAUUACUACAAUGCUGUAAAGACCACCUUUACUUUUUAAUUAGAUUUUAAGUAGAAAUGUUAGGUCAAAAGGUCAAAGUUGGUAGGCAUAAUCAUUUAUAUUUCUUUUUCUGACAACUGUACAUUCACAUCCAAGACCAUUUCUCCACUGGAAUUUUUAUAUUUAUGUAUUUUAAGGACUCUCUAAAUAGUCUAAGUGUUACCUGUUAAAUAUGAUGAUGGUAAUAUUUUCUCCAAGUCCAGCCCUUUGUAUUUUAAUACUACGAAGCCUCUAGUUGCAGAAACUAAAAGCUUUUAGUUUCUGUGUGGCAUUUGUCUUAUUUUUAUGACUUCUGAGUUUUCUUAUAUAGGAAGAUAACUAUACUAAGUUACAGAAGAUACAUGAAUGAUGCUUGAUUAAAUAUUUCAUUUCAAAGAACUCAGUCAAAGUCAUAAUUUCACUUCAUCAUACCAAUAUAGGUCGAGUAUCCCUUGUCUGAAAUGCGUGAGACCAGAAGUAUUUAGGAUUUCAGACUUUUUUGGACUUUGCAAUAUUUGCAUGCAAAUAAUAAGGAAUCUUGGGGGUGCAUUUUUUUUUUUUUUUUUUUUUUU
rnacentral:lncRNA from 1 species